CUCACUUUUCAUUUCUCACAAACCAAAACACCACAAUCUGGUAACUGUAACCUUCAAAACAACAACCCCAAAAUAAACAGCCAAACACAUCCUUAAUACACUAUGAGUUUGAAGUAACUAACUUUUCAACUGUUAAAAGACCUUGGAAUCUCUAUCUGUCACUGGGUUUUGUUAGAGUAGUCUGGGUGUAGAGAGUAAUUGGGAAAUGGCAACUGAUAUGGAUCAUCAUUAUCAUCAUAGCUAUUGUGGCAAUGAAUGGUCACAAACUGAGGUACCAUUAGAGGGCCAACAAUCUCAGGUUGUUUCCAUCUCUGACAUUCUGGAUCAUGGUUCAAUAUCUUUUGGAAGAUUUGCUGUCGAAUCACUUGCAUGGGAAAAGCGGUCAGUGUU